UACGGAGGGUGCAAGCGUUAUCCGGAAUCAUUGGGUUUAAAGGGUCCGUAGGCGGGCUAAUAAGUCAGAGGUGAAAUCCCACAGCUUAACUAUGGAACUGCCUUUGAUACUGGAGACCUUGAGUACAAAUGAAGUAGGCGGAAUGAGUCAUGUAGCGGUGAAAUGCAUAGAUAUGACUCAGAACACCGAUUGCGAAGGCAGCUCACUAGGCCUGGAUUGACGCUCAGGGACGAAAGCGUGGGGAGCGAACAGG
rnacentral:rRNA from 1 species